rnacentral:rRNA from 1 species
UGGCAUAUACAAAGAGAAGCGACCUCGCGAGAGCAAGCGGACCUCAUAAAGUAUGUCGUAGUCCGGAUUGGAGUCUGCAACUCGACUCCAUGAAGUCGGAAUCGCUAGUAAUCGUAGAUCAGAAUGCUACGGUGAAUACGUUCCCGGGCCUUGUACACACCGCCCGUCACACCAUGGGAGUGGGUUGCAAAAGAAGUAGGUAGCUUAACCUUCGGGAGGGCGCUUACCACUUUGUGAUUCAUGACUGGGGUGAAGUCGUAACAAGGUAACCGUAGGGGAACCUGCGGUUGGAUCACCUCCUU